rnacentral:lncRNA from 1 species
GUGCAAGGUCUUCACAAGCUCAAAGGCCUCCUAAACCUUCAAAGAAUAAGUGUCCAAAAGGAAAAGGAAAGGUAAAGGUUUGAAACUUGAACGAUGCAAAGUAAGUUGAAAACCAAGAUUUUAUUGAAUUCCAUGAACCAUUUAUUUUUUUGGUUGUACUAAUGCCAUAAGGCAUUUGACAUUGAACUUUGUUUGAAACUUUGAAGUUUGAACUUUAGUUGUAUUAUGGCAAACUUAACUUUUCAAUUGGGUUGUAGUAAACUAUUGUGAUUGAUUGGUGAUAAAGUUAAAUUUUAGUAGAUGUGAAUUAUGUGAUGCGUUUUUGUGCAGUUUUUUGGUGCAGUUUUGUGCAGUUUUUUGGUGCAGUUUUGGUGCAGUUGUGGUGUAAUUUUUGCUGCAGUUUAGCUGCUGUUUUUUGUGCAGUUUUGGUGCUGUUUAGCUGCAGUUUUUUGUGCAGUUUUGUGCAGUUUUUUGCUGCAGUUUCAGUGCAGUUUUUUGCUCCAGGUUUGGUACAGUUCUUGGUGUUGUUUUGCUACAGGUUUGGUGUUGUUGCUGUUUUUGGUGCAAUUUUGGUGCAUAUUCAUUAAUUAAUAUAUAAGGAAAAUAAGAUCAUCUUAUGCAUAAAUAUGUGUAUAUUUUAAAUUGUACAUUUUUUUCUCAAAAACCAAACUGAAACCGUUUGAAACCGUACCGAACCGAACCAAACGGUUUGGUUUCAUUUCGGUUUUGGCUUCAAAACCGCACCGCACCGCACCGCAAAAAGUUUCGAUUUCGGUUGUGGUUUCACUCGAAACCGCACCAAACCGCACCGCGCCCACCCCUAAUAUAAUGUU